AAAAAAAAAAAAAAUUCUUCUCUUUUUGCCCUAAAUUUCAUCUUCGUUCAUCACUAAGGAACGAACUCUUCAUAUUGGCACUACCGAUUCUCCAUCUCUACCGGCACCGUCGAUUCUCCAUCUCCACCGGCACCACCGACUCUCCUCCUCUCCACCGACACCGCCAACUGUCCUCCUGUAGGGUUGUUCCUUUUUCAUUUGAGAGAAUUUGAAGGUAGAAUUCAAAAUUUAUGUACCCAGUUACUUAAGAGAUUGAGCAAAGGCUAACGGUUGAGAUUGAGCAAAGGGUCACUGAGAAGUUGAAGGUAGAGUUUGAGCAAAUUAGAGCUUGGAUGGACUUCAUAGGGUCCCAAGGCGGCCUAAGUGGUAUACAGCUUCCAAAUGCCUCUAGUGAACGUUAACAAGUCAGGAAGUCUGUAGGAGAUCAUGACAGUCAUGAUGAUGAGUUAUUGGGUUCUCCUAUGCAGCAAUUAACAGUCUCAAAAAGCUUAUACAGUGUACAGAUGAAUUUUGUUACAGUCGGCACAUUACAGAUGCAAAAAAAUCUAUAGCGAAGUAGGAGACCGUCUCAAUUAAUACUCUUUACCAUCGUAAAUAUGCUGCGACGACAUAGUUCCCGACUCAAAAACUUUUAGCGACCCCCAUAUUCUCGUCCCUCACCAUGUCGUCGAAAUGCCAUCGCAAAAACUUUUUGCGACAGCAAUUAUGUUUUUUGCGAUAGCACUCUGCAAACUCAACAUGCAUGUUCUCUUGUAGUGUAAUAACACUUUUUAGUGUUCUCAAAAAUAUAUUUCAAUUAACAAUUUCAAUAAUUUUAUUAUUGUGUAAGGGAGUAAUUAGAAAUUUUAUUUUUUUAUUAAUUCUAUUAAAUAA